rnacentral:rRNA from 1 species
UACGAAGGGGGCUAGCGUUGUUCGGAAUCACUGGGCGUAAAGGGCGCGUAGGCGGCCUGAUAAGUCGGGGGUGAAAGCCUGUGGCUCAACCACAGAAUUGCCUUCGAUACUGUCGGGCUUGAGACCGGAAGAGGUCAGUGGAACUGCGAGUGUAGAGGUGAAAUUCGUAGAUAUUCGCAAGAACACCAGUGGCGAAGGCGGCUGACUGGUCCGGUUCUGACGCUGAGGCGCGAAAGCGUGGGGAGCAAACAGG